rnacentral:rRNA from 1 species
UACAGAGGUCCCAAGCGUUGUUCGGAUUCAUUGGGCGUAAAGGGUGCGUAGGCGGCAGGGUAAGUCUGGUGUGAAAUCCCGGGGCUCAACCCCGGAACUGCACUGGAUACUGCUUUGCUAGAGUACUGGAGAGGGAACUGGAAUUUACGGUGUAGCAGUGAAAUGCGCAGAUAUCAGGAGGAACACCGGUGGCGAAGGCGGUUCUCUGGGCAUUACCUGACGCUGAGGCGCGAAAGCUAGGGGAGCGAACAGG